GACGGAGGGUGCAAGCGUUAUCCGGAAUGAUUGGGCGUAAAGCGUCCGCAGGCGGCUGUUCAAGUCUGCUGUGAAAGCCCGGGGCUUAACUUCGGAAAGGCAGUGGAAACUGAACAGCUAGAGUAUGGUAGGGGCAGAGGGAAUUCCUGGUGUAGCGGUGAAAUGCGUAGAGAUCAGGAAGAACAUCGGUGGCGAAGGCGGUCUGCUGGACCAUAACUGACGCUCAGGGACGAAAGCUAGGGGAGCAAAUGGG
rnacentral:rRNA from 1 species